AUUCCUAUAGGAUCCUAUAGGAAUUCCUAUAGGAUCCUAUAGGAAUUCCUAUAGGAAUUCCUAUAGGAUCCUAUAGGAAUU